CCUACGGGUGGCAGCAGUGAGGAAUAUUGGUCAAUGGACGAAAGUCUGAACCAGCCAAGCAGCGUGAAGGAUGACUGCCCUAUGGGUUGUAAACUUCUUUUAUAUGGGAAUAAAAUCUUCCACGUGUGUGAUGUUGUAUGUACCAUAUGAAUAAGGAUCGGCUAACUCCGUGCCAGCAGCCGCGGUAAUACGGAGGAUCCGAGCGUUAUCCGGAUUUAUUGGGUUUAAAGGGAGCGUAGGUGGUUUGUUAAGUCAGAUGUGAAAGUCUGCGGCUCAACCGUAAAAUUGCAGUUGAAACUGGCAGUCUUGAGUACAGUAGAGGUGGGCGGAAUUCAUGGUGUAGCGGUGAAAUGCUUAGAGAUCACGAAGAACUCCGAUUGCGAAGGCAGCUCACUGGACUGCAACUGACGCUGAGGCUCGAAAGUGUGGGUAGCAAACAGGAUUAGAUACCCUUGUAGUC
rnacentral:rRNA from 1 species